rnacentral:pre_miRNA from 1 species
GUAGUACUCCCUCCGUUCGGAAUUACUUGUCACAAAAAUGGAUGUAUCUACAACUAAAAUACAUCUAGAUACAUUCAUUUCUUGGACGAGUAAUUCUGAACGGAGGGAGUAUGUA